GCGGCUGGAGGGACCCAGUUAGUGCUGCGGGGAAACCCCGGCGCCCAGACGCCUUGGGGGUCUGUCUGUCUGUCUGUGCCGGACUUUCACGGCCUAUGCGAUAAAGGAGGCAAUGGCUCCGCCUGGGUGCCCACAGCUGGUGGUACUUAGCAACGUACCUACGGCAGCCCCGGGCAAGGAUGCUAGCUAGCCUCUCCCGCGUUUUCCUGCCACCGAAGAGAACAGGAUUGACACGCUUACCCUGUUGUAGGCGCCUUGUCUGGGUCUGAGCCGAAAUCCUCUGAGGUGCAGCCUGCAAUCUUUCACUCCCGGGAAAUUGCCAAGCUGUCAGAGGCUGCCUGAACUAGGACCCCGAGCCUUUAGACAAGAGACCGCUGCUUAUUUUGUAAUGAGGGGCCUCUCUUUGUCCCUUUCUCAGCUGCCCCUUCGUUCAUAUUCUUUGAGUUUGGUGUCAAGACAUAUCUGUAACCUCGCAUGACUCAAAAUGGACAGUUGCAAUAACUUCAAGACAUACAUGCUCAUGCAUGCACGGGGGAUGGGUGGGUGGAGAUCUUGCUUUUCCAUCUGUCCUGUCAUCCAAGCUUGCACUACAAAACCUUUCUAAAUAUUGUACUGUUUCACGCCUCCAUUAAAAAAACAAUCAAAUGACUACCAACUUAGGAACGCAGUGGUCUUAGUGUUAGGUUUACAGCCAGCCAUUCACGGGCUGUAACCCCAGACCUUAAGUCCCAGAAAGCACAGUGAAGGAUGGAGUAGAAGCUGGAGAAAGAAAAAAAAGGGGGCCAUCCUAAGCGAGUGAGAGUCCCAAGGAAACCCCGAGGAGCAUCAGUGGCCAUCAGAGAAGAGUCUACGGAUCAGCCCUGAAAUCCACUGAGGCAGCUAACCCACUUACCACAACGCCAUUCUGUUAAGACUGCCUUUACACAGCUAAGCGGCAUCUGACAGGCAGCGUUCUUUGGAAAAGCUCCAGGACCCAUAGGCUCUCCUCUAAACGUUGUUGUGAAGAAUACUAAAGCACCAGGGGUACUUUCACAUCAGGAAUGGAUUUUUCAUUUUCUUUUUUAAUGCUAUCUCGUUUAAUUACUCAAUAGUCUUUAGAAAAAAGAUAUUAUUCAAUAAAGAAUGCUCACAUCCGUUCAGAGCUCACUGCUUUCAAUGGAGACCUUCUGAGUUUUAUUCCAUCAGCGUCUCACCUCUGCUUCUAGAUUUUCAAACCCACCUGGAAUUGCAGGCCAAUAGUACUGAGGUAUCAAUUCUCCUAGUCUUCAGGCAAUGACUGUCCUGGGCUGACAUGGAAAUACCCAGGCUCUCUUUGCACAUCCAGGAGGUAACUCUGGGGUGUCCUUUCAGCUCCAGUUUCUGGCUGUGGCAUCCUCUUGGUUAAGCACCAUCUCCUGGCUUCUUUCCCUGUAUCCCUUCCCAGCUUCUCUCUGAUACGUGCUAGAAAUAACUCUCAAAUAAAUUAUGUCCACUCUCA
rnacentral:lncRNA from 1 species